AUUGAACGCUGGCGGCAGGCCUAACACAUGCAAGUCGAACGAGUGGCGGACUGUUGAGUAAUGUCGGGGAAACUGCCUGAUGUACCCGGCUAACUACUGUAAACGGUAGCUAAUACCGCUUACCAUUGGAUGUGCCCUGAUGGGAUUAGCUAGUGGGUGGGGUAACGGCUAACCUAGGCGACGAUCCCUAGCUGGUCUGAGAGGAUGACCGGCCACACUGGAACUGAGACACGGUCCAGACUCAUACGGGAGGCAGCAGUGGGGAAUAUUGCACAAUGGGCGCAAGCCUGAUAGAGCCACGCCGCGUGUAUGAAGAAGGCCUUCGGAUUGUAAAGUACUUUCGGCGGGGAGGCGUUACCCGAAGAAGAAGCACCGGCUAACUCCGUGCCAGCAGCCGCGGUAAUUC
rnacentral:rRNA from 1 species